rfam:Stegodyphus mimosarum contig20053, whole genome shotgun sequence.
GCCUUCGUGGUGUAGAGGUCAGCAAGCUAGACGCGUAACUGAGAGGUCCGAGGUUCGAUUCCCGGCGAAGGUG